UACGGGGGGGGCAAGCGUUGUUCGGAAUUACUGGGCGUAAAGGGCUCGUAGGUGGCCAACUAAGUCAGACGUGAAAUCCCUCGGCUUAACCGGGGAACUGCGUCUGAUACUGGAUGGCUUGAGUUCGGGAGAGGGAUGCGGAAUUCCAGGUGUAGCGGUGAAAUGCGUAGAGAUGUGGAGGAACACCAGUGGCGAAGGCGACUCUUUGGUCUGUAACUGACGCUGAGGCGCGAAAGCGUGGGGAGCAAACAGG
rnacentral:rRNA from 1 species